GAUGAACGCUGGCGGCGUGCUUAACACAUGCAAGUCGAACGGAAAGGCCCAAGCUUGCUUGGGUACUCGAGUGGCGAACGGGUGAGUAACACGUGGGUGAUCUGCCCUGCACUUCGGGAUAAGCCUGGGAAACUGGGUCUAAUACCGGAUAGGACCACAUUUUGGAUGGUGUGGUGGAAAGUUUUUCGGUGUGGGAUGAGCUCGCGGCCUAUCAGCUUGUUGGUGGGGUAAUGGCCUACCAAGGCGUCGACGGGUAGCCGGCCUGAGAGGGUGUACGGCCACAUUGGGACUGAGGGACGGCCCAGACUCCUACGGGAGGCAGAAGUGGGGAAUAUUGCACAAUGGGCGCGAGCCUGAUGCAGCGACGCCGCGUGGGGGAUGACGGCCUUCGGGUUGUAAACUCCUUUCGCUAGGGACGAAGCGGAAGUGACGGUACCUGGAGAAGAAGCACCGGCUAACUACGUG
rnacentral:rRNA from 1 species